UCCUGGUUAGCUCAGUUGGUAGAGCACUUCACUGGAAAUAAAAAGGUGCCUGGUUCAAUACCAGGAGCCGGCG
rfam:Ixodes scapularis strain Wikel colony gcontig_1108378620550, whole genome shotgun sequence.